GGAGAAUAUUUUCAUGAGUUAUACAAAAACACUAUUUAACCUAAGAUUUUGCAUUUCUUAAGUUCAAUUUUCUUUUUGUUUUGAACACCCAAACAGAGUUUUAAGAUUGAUUAAUCAAUUCAACUCUUGGAAGAACUAAUAAUACAUGUAAAUGGAAAUGAAAAGAUGGUCAUGAUGGUUCAGGAUUGGGCUCCAUCUGAGCCCGUGCUUUCAUUUUUCCUUUAGGAUUCCAAAAAGACUACAUAUAUUUCUAAUAAGGUGCCUAAUCAUCCAAUUGAAAUUUCCUUUCUCUUUAUUUUUUGGUUGCAGGUAAUGAUCCAGGGAAAGAGCCAAAAAUGAAUAUUCAAGGAUACACCAUUGGAAACCUAAUAAUAGAUCACUUUAGUGACUUCAAUUCAAGAAUUGCAUACGCUCAUCAAGUAGGACUUCUAUCAGAUGAGCUCUAUGAGAUACCAAAUGGAGUUUGAGCAUGCAGUCUUACUCAACUUGUGCUACUAAUUAGAGUAUUUGUUGGUGAUAUUUUCUUUUUCAUGCCAAUAUCUAAAAGCUAAGGUUGAUGGAGGUUUUGGCAAGGACGUGCUGGAGUUUUUGUUGAAAGGAGAUGUGGUUGCUUAUAGAACCAUGGCUACAAGAGUGUCUUGAAAUAGCCUGAAGAUUAACUGAUUGAUAGAGUUGUCGACUUGUAAUGCAGCUACGGCAGUGUCAUUUAUACGAUCUUUCCCUAAAAUGAAGGCAUCUACCCAAUGUGGGCUGGUGAUGAUCUUUACAAACUGGUUGCUAGCAAUGUUGAAAAGCUUGGGAACUUCUUAAAAGGAUUUUCAGGGGAAUAUUUUAGAGUCUCAGGAGAUGGAGAAUCCAAGGAUAGCAAAA